rnacentral:lncRNA from 1 species
UAGAGACCCAGAGAGGUGAAGUAAUUUUUCCAAGGUUACAUAGCUUAUUAAUUGCUGUAUGGAAGGUGACUGGAGUCAUGCAAAGAGGAUGAACUCUGAAAUCAUUUCAAAUCACAAUAUUGUUGCUUAAUAGCUUCAGCUAUUUGUUUAACCUCUCUGAGCUAUGGCUUACUCAUCUGUAAAAUGUGGUUAAUAGAUCUAUGUCAGAAGGUUGUUGAGAGGAUAGACUCAAAGGGGACAAUGUAUGAAGUUGCGUAGUGAGACAAUCUGGGGUCUAGUCCCCUUUACUUCCUGUGCAAGUGCACAAAUAAAACUUAGGCCUGCUGGGGUUAUCCAAGAUUUCUGGGCCCUUCUUGUCUGUUGAAACUCACAGAGUCACAAAGCCUUCUUUCUCAUUACUUCUAGGUUUAUUCUACAGGCCCCCAUUCAUUCCUCAGGAGUAACGCAGAAGGGACACUGACCAGCACAGCAGAGAGGGAGGUGUUUAAAAUGGAUUCUGUGGGUGUAGAGCCACUGUUUUCCCUGCAAAUGGUCUAGCAAAUCAACAGACUAUGUCCUCCUCUCCUACGUUUUGUCUGACAAGCAGCAUUUUUUUAAUAAAAGACAGGUGAACGAGUAAAUGAAUGCAGUGCAGAUCCAGUGCAGAUAGCUGCCUGCUGGCUGUGUUGGAACCAGGGAGACGUCAAAUGGUCAGCAGGUAUUCAAAAGGCGGAAGUCUAAAGAGGCCAAAGGAGAUGUUGAGUCACUGUGAAAUGCUCCUAAUUAGUAUGCCAACCUUUCCACCAGGACCCUGAGGUGAGCAACACUCUGUGCCACACUA